GUCACACCUAUUUUCACGUUUGGAAGCCAUAAGUGAAAAAUUGAAGGAGCAAAUAAAGGGCGUGGAAGCUGUACAAGCCAAAGAGGUUCCUUUAUCCUGGGUUGGGGUAGCAGAGAGUGUGCAAGUAAUGGGCUCCUUUGAUGGUUGGAGUCAAGGAGAGCACUUAUCUCCAGAGUACACCGGCUCUUAUAUGAACUUUUCAGCUACAUUGUUCCUAAGACCUGGAAGGUACGAAAUUAAGUUCUUGGUAGAUGAUGAGUGGAAACUAUCCCCAGAAUUACCAACUACCGGAGAGGGGUUAACUAAGAACAAUUUAUUGGUCGUGGAAUAGCUCAUUUAGCUAGGACAGGUGCUGAAAGUUUGUAUUAUAGGUGGAAAAACAACUUGUUAAUCGUCGUACAGUUGAUCUCAGGACUCUUAAGCAGCGUAGCUCAUGAGGUGGGAUUGCUCAAGACAUCUAAUUCGCUCGACCUACUAUUAACUCAAAGUGUUGAAGGUAUAUAUAAUAGACCAGACCUCCUAAAGUGAUGGUAUAAAGGGCGAUCCGAGACUUCUGUUUUUCUCUUAUAAAGUCUUGAGUUGAAUGUUCAGACUCUUUCGAAAAUGUUUGGAAGCUUUUGGUAAAAAGGUUUAUUUUUAAAAAAGUGAGG
rnacentral:misc_RNA from 1 species